UGAACGCUGGCGGCGUGCUUAACACAUGCAAGUCGAACGAAGCUCUGCUUAAGGAUCUUUUGGAGUGACUAAAGUAGAUGACUGAGUGGCGGACGGGUGAGUAACGCGUGGGUAACCUGCCCUAUACAGGGGGAUAGCAGUUGGAAACGACUGAUAAUACCGCAUAAGCGCACGGUAUCGCAUGAUACAGUGUGAAAAACUCCGGUGGUAUAGGAUGGACCCGCGUCUGAUUAGCUAGUUGGUGAGGUAACGGCUCACCAAGGCAACGAUCAGUAGCCGACCUGAGAGGGUGACCGGCCACAUUGGGACUGAGACACGGCCCAAACUCCUACGGGAGGCAGCAGUGGGGAAUAUUGCACAAUGGGCGAAAGCCUGAUGCAGCCGACGCCGCGUGAGUGAUGAAGUAUUUCGGUAUGUAAAGCUCUAUCAGCAGGGAAGAUAAUGACGGUACCUGACUAAGAAGCACCGGCUAAAUACGUGCCAGCCGCCGC
rnacentral:rRNA from 1 species